rnacentral:rRNA from 1 species
GACGAACCGUGCGAACGUUGUUCGGAUUCACUGGGCUUAAAGGGCGCGUAGGCGGGCGGUCAAGUCGGGGGUGAAAUCUUUCGGCUCAACCGGAAAAGUGCCUUUGAUACUGGCCGUCUCGAGGGAGGUAGGGGCAUGCGGAACUUCCGGUGGAGCGGUGAAAUGCGUAGAUAUCGGAAGGAACGCCGGUGGCGAAAGCGGCGUGCUGGACCUCUUCUGACGCUGAGGCGCGAAAGCCAGGGGAGCAAACGGG